GAAGUUUCACAAACUCUGCAUUCAGCACUUUUAGUAGCAUGUUGCUGUUAGCAGUUUGCAAUAGCAAUUAGCGUUGGCAAUUUUGAUCAAUGCUAAUCCUGACAAUGGUCGCGCCUUGCUAUCUUCCAUUCGUUCAGCAAUUUUGAAGCAUUUCAAUGAAUGAAAUUAUGUUCGAUAAAGUCUCUGCGUUUUGUCACUAGCGAGUGAGCGGUCUAUAUAUAUAUAUAUAUACACUGUGAAUGAAUGAAGAAGGUUUUGGAAGUUCUGGAUUCGGCUGUUUCGUUACAGCUUGUGCACUUUGUCAUGACAAUCCUGAAAGUACAUCAGGAUUUCCGUUUCUAUCCGUACCACUUCAGAUAUCGGCGACAGAUGGUGCACAAUGUUGCUAGCGGUUAUUGCAUCGGUGCUGCUGUCACAGUGAUGUGUCUGUAGAAGAGAUGAUGAGACUCAGCGUCCGUUCACAUGCUGUUUCGAGGUCACAAUUUCCUAAUGCAGAUCAGGGCACAGGCACAGAGGAGGUGGAAUGGAUCUUAGCAUGACGACAUCAUGCACGUGAGGGUGGAGAAAAUAUCAUCACAAUAUCAUGGGCAGAUUCAACUCCACCUUCCAGAACCGGGAAUAAUCACGGAGUGAAAAUGCUGAACCUUUUUCACUCGGAAACAUACAUCACGCAUUACUGGAAAAAGGAAAUGCAUCAUGAUUGUCAUUAACCUGUAGUGGUUAAAUACUGAAAUACCUAUUACAUGUGCUGUUCCUGUUUAGCAUGUUGUUGUUGUUUUUUAAAUAAACUUCAUACUGUUUAAAAUUCUUUGAUUUCUAAUUGAAGUGUGAAACUUUUUCCCUUUGAAAAUCAUUGAUGUCACAACGGCCGUUACAGCAGAUGACCAAUCGACAGCUUUGAUUCUUCUCUCGUAAGUUCAAAGUGGCAAACGAUUGUUCAUUUUCCACAUCUGUGUGUGACAAGACAGCUGUGAUUUCAGCAACAUAGCGAUAUUUAAAUAGAAAGACAAGAGGUUCUCUCAAUCCUACACAAAUUAGGUACGAUGCUGUAAAGAAGCGACGAAUCCAAACAAUAGGCGCGAACGAUUCCUCGGACCAAUCCUAUGCUGCGUGUGGGUCGACGUUUCUCAAGUUCCCCGCU
ensembl:lncRNA